ensembl:snoRNA
GUGCACAUUUCAUUGACCUGCUUUCUUUAUAUGUGAGCAGUGUUAUUUAUUACGUGCUAUACAAAUAGCUGAAGGUUGAUUAGCAGUCUAACCAUAAAUAGCCAUGCUGACAGUCUCCUUCAGACAAAA